rnacentral:rRNA from 1 species
GGCGGCAGGCCUAACACAUGCAAGUCGAGCGGAUGAAGGGAGCUUGCUCCUGGAUUCAGCGGCGGACGGGUGAGUAAUGCCUAGGAAUCUGCCUGGUAGUGGGGGAUAACGUCCGGAAACGGGCGCUAAUACCGCAUACGUCCGGAGGGAGGAAGUGGGGGAUCUUCGGACCUCACGCUAUCAGAUGAGCCUAGGUCGGAUUAGCUAGUUGGUGGGGUAAAGGCCUACCAAGGCGACGAUCCGUAACUGGUCUGAGAGGAUGAUCAGUCACACUGGAACUGAGACACGGUCCAGACUCCUACGGGAGGCAGCAGUGGGGAAUAUUGGACAAUGGGCGAAAGCCUGAUCCAGCCAUGCCGCGUGUGUGAAGAAGGUCUUCGGAUUGUAAAGCACUUUAAGUUGGGAGGAAGGGCAGUAAGUUAAUACCUUGCUGUUUUGACGUUACCAACAGAAUAAGCACCGGCUAACUUCGUGCCAGCAGCCGCGGUAAUACGAAGGGUGCAAGCGUUAAUCGGAAUUACUGGGCGUAAAGCGCGCGUAGGUGGUUCAGCAAGUUGGAUGUGAAAUCCCCGGGCUCAACCUGGGAACUGCAUCCAAAACUACUGAGCUAGAGUACGGUAGAGGGUGGUGGAAUUUCCUGUGUAGCGGUGAAAUGCGUAGAUAUAGGAAGGAACACCAGUGGCGAAGGCGACCACCUGGACUGAUACUGACACUGAGGUGCGAAAGCGUGGGGAGCAAACAGGAUUAGAUACCCUGGUAGUCCACGCCGUAAACGAUGUCGACUAGCCGUUGGGAUCCUUGAGAUCUUAGUGGCGCAGCUAACGCGAUAAGU